CCUUGGUCAAAUUUACAAAGCCUUCAACUUUUUUUGUUCCUGUACAAGUUGUUUUCAUUUAAUUUUUAUUCCAAGAAAUAUUGAUAUUGUGUAACAAUUGGCAUUAGUUGGACUCAAGAAGAUGUCGGUUUAAACUGCACUCAUUUUCAACUUGUUUUAUCAAUUUUAUCGAUUUAAAAUUCUAUAAAUCUGAGAUGCAUUGAUGGAAAAAGAAAAAGGAACAAUAACCAAAUAAGUUCAUACAAAUUGAUUUACUCAGGACUUAAUACACAACCUUCAGUUGUCACCUCGACGGUUCGCCGAAAAUGGGAUUUCUAGCUGUUUCGCGUUGUGAAGCGAGAAAAACAAUUAAUUCUCCCAAGAAGAGGAAUAAUUUACAACCGCCUCGUGACGGGAUUUUAAGUAAGGACAGUUUUGCCGCGUCUUAUAAGAAUGUCCGUCGCGGUACCAGUUGCAGACAGAAGCUAAG